UACAGAGGGUGCGAGCGUUAAUCGGAAUUACUGGGCGUAAAGCGCGCGUAGGUGGAUAUUUAAGUCGGAUGUGAAAGCCCUGGGCUUAACCUGGGAACUGCAUUCGAUACUGGGUAUCUUGAGUAUGGUAGAGGGAAGUGGAAUUUCCGGUGUAGCGGUGAAAUGCGUAGAUAUCGGAAGGAACACCAGUGGCGAAGGCGGCUUCCUGGACCAAUACUGACACUGAGGCGCGAAAGCGUGGGGAGCAAACAGG
rnacentral:rRNA from 1 species